AAGUACAAAAAUUUCUGCAUUCAUUCCAACCCAGCAUUUGUCGGUCAGCAGCCGGUUCAACCGCGUUGUGGGUUCCUGGCCCUUGAAGGUCGCCAGGGUUCUGCCUUGCUGCUCCCACUGCCACCACCAAAACGAUUCGAAUCUGGAGGUGUAGCUCUGCUACCACCACCUGCCAAACGUUCAGAAUCCUGAGGUGGAGCCCUACUGCCACUAGUCCAGCGAUCAGAUUGCGAUGGAGGAGCCCUGCUGCCAGCAGCCCAUCGGUCGGGCUCCAACGGUGCUGGCUUGCCCCAUCGAUCAGGUUCAGAAGGUGGAGCUGGACCAGAGCUUUCAGGCCUUA
rnacentral:lncRNA from 1 species